rnacentral:rRNA from 1 species
CACGUAGGGUGCGAGCGUUGUCCGGAAUUAUUGGGCGUAAAGAGCUCGUAGGCGGUGUGUCGCGUCGGCCGUGAAAACUUGGGGCUUAACUCUGAGCGUGCGGUCGAUACGGGCAUCACUUGAGUUCGGCAGGGGAGACUGGAAUUCCUGGUGUAGCGGUGGAAUGCGCAGAUAUCAGGAGGAACACCGAUGGCGAAGGCAGGUCUCUGGGCCACUACUGACGCUGAGAAGCGAAAGCAUGGGGAGCGAACAGG